rnacentral:rRNA from 1 species
AUUGAACGCUGGCGGCAGGCUUAACACAUGCAAGUCGAGCGGGGGAAGGUAGCUUGCUACCGGACCUAGCGGCGGACGGGUGAGUAAUGCUUAGGAAUCUGCCUAUUAGUGGGGGACAACAUCUCGAAAGGGAUGCUAAUACCGCAUACGUCCUACGGGAGAAAGCAGGGGAUCUUCGGACCUUGCGCUAAUAGAUGAGCCUAAGUCGGAUCAGCUAGUUGGUGGGGUAAAGGCCUACCAAGGCGACGAUCUGUAGCGGGUCUGAGAGGAUGAUCCGCAAGACUGGGACGGAGACACGGCCCAGACUCCUACGGGAGGCAGCAGUGGGGAAUAUUGGACAAUGGGGGGAACCCCGAUCCAGCCAUGCCGCGUGUGUGAAGAAGGCCUUAUGGUUGUAAAGCACUUUAAGCGAGGAGGAGGCUACUCUAGUUAAUACCUAGGGAUAGUGGACGUUACUCGCAGAAUAAGCACCGGCUAACUCUGUGCCAGCCGCCGCCGUAA